UUUUGAACAUUCUGUUGUUUUUUUUUUUUAAUAUAUAAUAGUUUGUAUUUUAGAUACAUCUUGUUACUCUGAUAAUACUUGUUAGUUCAAUAAAUUGGAACAUGUUAAGCUUGUUGCGCAUUUCAUUAGCAUUGUGUUGGGGCGAUGGGGGUAGGUGGGGCUUUAAAAUUCCCCCUUGUCUAAAGUGGGGAAUGACCAACCACUGGUCUAGUUUAUGCCCGUUUCCAAGAACCGAACUUCCCACGGGUCUGGCUGCAGACCGUGGGUUAGUGGAUUUCCACUCUCGAAUUUCUACGGGAAGUGUUGCCCGGACCAACAUGCCCGGACCAACAUGGCGGCCAUGUCUCUAGUGAAGGUGACGAAUUUCCGCUCUUGAGUGGAGCCAGUGCCACCAUAGAUAUACAUAAUAAAGGCUAGAUGUCUUACGGCGGAGUCUCUAACGUCAUCACAGGCAAGCUCUCUGACGGACUCUACAGUAACUGAUGUAAGGGAUGCACCAGUUGACCGGCCAUAAAUCGGAACCGGCCGGUUUUUGCUUAAAAUACGUGAUCAGUUUUUGUUCUUUGCCCAGCCGAUUUUUCUGGAAGAGAAAUCUGAAUCACCCACCGAAUCAGCAAUCGUGAACAGGAGCACAUUUUGGUGGCUGGAAUAACAACCCUAAUGCCGGCCAGUUGAAGUACAUCUUUAGGAAGCUAAUGGCCCGGUGUGGGGUUGUUAAACCAUGCAGAGUCAAUGUGAUGACACAGGAUGAUCCAGAGACCUUCCCAAGUGUCAUUGACACCUCUACAAUUCUGUCAGCUGUGGAUAUAUCCUCUUCAGCAGGAGGAGAUCAUCUUCCAUCCCCGUUUGCUGACAUUCCUGCCCUAUUACAUGACCACAGCUACCUCCCCGUCCACUUCGAUGGUCUUGUGGACAACGCUCUGGUGUACAUUUCAGUUAAAGGCUGACUGAAAGUCAAUUUUUCAAUAGUGCCAAUAGUCAAAUUCUGGGGGAAAACGAUCUCAAGAGCGUUCAAAAAGAAAAAUGUUCCCUUAAAUUUCACCUGCUUAUUAAUUAUUGUUAUUAUUAUAAGUUAUGAUAUUAUUAUACUAACUCUAAUUUCAGGAUUUGUUGUGCGACGGGCUCUGAAGAAGCUGUGACGCUGCAUCUGUCAUCAAGGACCAGAGCUACCACCUGCUGAUUUUAAAACGCAAUGGAGGUCUGGUGAUUCCCUCAGAAGGCACAGUGAGGGUCAGCAGAGUGGGUCAUUCGUCAGGCAUCAGCCAGUACCAGACAAUCACAGCCCAUCAAACUGCUAGAGGUCAUGUACAUUGUACGGAGGAGCAUAGGGCCAGAGGAUGUGUUUGUGGAAUCGCAGUAUGGCAUAGACGGCCACCACCAUACUCUGUUAACAUUAGCUGUGUCCCUGCACCACAUCGCUAAAUUGACUAACCUUACCUCACAGAGCAACAACAUGCUACUGAACAAAACAGUCUUUUUCAAGGGGCAUAAGCCCUUUUUGUUUAUGUCCUCCACAGUUGUUUAGUUCUCUCUACAGGGUGGGGAUUUCAACAAACCGCAUUUCUUUAUGUAUAUUUGUAAAGGGGAAUCUUUGCAAAUAAAUGUCACUUUUAAAAGAAGUUUAAAA